AAGUGGAGCUAAUACCGAAUAAGACCACGCGACACAAGUUUCGUGGUAGAAGGUGGCUUGUAUUUAUACUGGCUAUCACUUGAGGAUGAGCCUUUGGCCUAUCAGCUUGUUGGCGAGGUAAAAGCUCACCAAGGCUAUGACGGGUAGCUGGUCUGAGAGGACGACCAGCCACACUGGGACUGAGACACGGCCCAGACUCCUACGGGAGGCAGCAGUGGGGAAUAUUGGGCAAUGGGCGAAAGCCUGACCCAGCGACGCCGCGUGGGUGAUGAAGGCCUUCGGGUUGUAAAGCCCUGUCAUGUGGGAAGAACGGCCUCAUGGUUAAUACCCAUGGGGAUUGACGGUACCACAGGAGGAAGCACCGGCUAACUCCGUGCCAGCAGCCGCGGUAAUACGGAGGGUGCUAGCGUUGUUCGGAAUUAUUGGGCGUAAAGGGCGCGUAGGCAGUUAUGUAAGUCAGAUGUGAAAUACUUCGGCUCAACCGAAGAACUGCAUUUGA
rnacentral:rRNA from 1 species